rnacentral:tRNA from 1 species
GGAGAGGUGGCAGAGUGGUUGAAUGUACCGGUCUCGAAAACCGGCAGGGCCGCAAGGCCCUCGUGGGUUCGAAUCCCACCCUCUCCGCCA